rnacentral:lncRNA from 10 species
AUUGGGAGGCGCCGAAGGUGGAGAGGUCGGCUCGGAAGGAAAAGAUCACUCACUCUUGGGGGCAUCCAGCAGCCAUGUUGUGAGGACACUCAAGCAGCUGUGAAGAGGUGCACCUGGAGAGGAACUGAGGCCUCCCACCAAAACCAAGCACUGACAUGCCACUCAUGGAGCAACUUCCAGUCCUGCAAGCUCCAUUCAUGCAAUCACAGGAAUAUAUAAAACAUGAGCAGAAAGAGGCCUUUGGAGAAAUCUGGACCAGCAUUCUCAUUUUACGGAUGAGGGACCACGGCCCAUGGAGGUUUCCAUAGAUGAUUGGAAAAACCCAAGAGUUGGUCCUCUGUUCCAGACCCCACACAGACACAAACCUACAAGCCAAGGGAGCCAGUAUUUGGCCAUUCGUCCAUCCAUCUGCAUGUCCCAGGGAUGCACGAACAGGGAACACUUCAGCCUUUCGGCUGCCUUCAAAGAAGCAAUGAGAGAGAGAGAGAGGGUUACUUUGAUGAGUGAGCAGAUACCAGGUACUGUUUUGGGGAAACUGCUUUUCUCUGAGUCUAUAUUGGUCUGCACAAAUAAACUAAAAUGCUUUUUAAGUUGUUUUAUGAUCUAUAUAGAAGAGAUAUUGACAAACUUCUCCUGCUUAGAAAAUAAAAGGGACACUUGGAAUUAACAAAGGGGGUUGGUAGAUUUACCAUUGAGGUUGAUGAACUUAAUAUAUCAUCUGGUAAAACAAGCGUCAGGAAAUAUCCAUCAUUCAAAUGUUUUGGCUGACAGCAAAAUGCUCAAGGACUAAUCCCACAGCUGAAAUGUAGGGGAAAAUUUCCCCUACAUUUGGCUCCUUCUGGCUCCUACUUGGUCUACACUUUUGGAAGGACUGCUGAGAUUGUAUCCUUGGAGUCAGGGCGAGAGUGCCCCCUCCUUUUCCCCACUUGGAAACCAGAGUUUGUGGAAAGUGAAGAAGUGAUGUGCUGGAGCCAGAGGCUCAGUGCUGGGCUGGGGCUGGCUGGCCUGACCCAAGCCACCUGGUUACUCAGAGCCCAGCACUGGGUGGAAUCCCUGGGGUCUACAGGCAUUCACCCAUCCCCAGAAGCCCAGAUGAGUCUCUGAACAGUUGGCUGUGAGUGAGAUGACCUCAGAAAUGGAAGAGGUCAGUGCCUUAGCCAGACAGGCACUGACAUGAAUGUCAUAGGCAUGCUCCAGGGCCUUCUGAGAAAUGGAAAUACCAUCUGGAUGGAAUGACCUUUAUGCAACAAAAAGUUUAAUUAAAAGAAGUCUCCUCAACAGGCAUUGAAUAUUAGUGCUCGUCAAGAUUCAAAAGAGAUUUCCCUUAGAAUAAUUCCUCACCACAUAUAUUGAGGUUCUGGAGUGAUUCAUCCUACCCUCAUACAUAAAUGUUUGUGCUAACCAG